rnacentral:rRNA from 1 species
GACGAACGCUGGCGGCGUGCCUAAUACAUGCAAGUUGAGCGCUGAAGGUUGGUACUUGUACCAACUGGAUGAGCAGCGAACGGGUGAGUAACGCGUGGGGAAUCUGCCUUUGAGCGGGGGACAACAUUUGGAAACGAAUGCUAAUACCGCAUAAAAACUUUAAACACAAGUUUUAAGUUUGAAAGAUGCAAUUGCAUCACUCAAAGAUGAUCCCGCGUUGUAUUAGCUAGUUGGUGAGGUAAAGGCUCACCAAGGCGAUGAUACAUAGCCGACCUGAGAGGGUGGUCGGCCACAUUGGGACUGGGACACGGCCCAAACUCCUACGGGGGGCAGCAGUAGGGAAUCUUCGGCAAUGGGCGAAAGUCUGACCGGGCAACGCCGCGUGAGUGAAGAGGGUUUUCGGAUCGGAAAAAUCUGUUGGUAGGGAAGAACGUUGGUGAGAGUGGAAAGCUCAUCAAGUGACGGUAACUACCCAGAAAGGGACGGCUAACUACGUG